UACAGAGGUCUCAAGCGUUGUUCGGAUUCAUUGGGCGUAAAGGGCGCGUAGGCGGCCAUGCGUGUCUUCCGUGAAAUCCCUCGGCUUAACUGAGGACGUGCGGAAGAAACUGCAAGGCUCGAGUCCGGGAGAGGGGGGGUGGAAUUCCCAGUGUAGCGGUGAAAUGCGUAGAUAUUGGGAGGAACACCGGUGGCGAAGGCGGCCCCCUGGACCGGUACUGACGCUGAGGCGCGAAAAGCGGUGGGUAGCAAACGGG
rnacentral:rRNA from 1 species